rnacentral:pre_miRNA from 1 species
UGUUAAAAAUUUGAUUCAUUUCUACUGUUAGAAACUAAAACAACUGACGAAAUAAUGCCAUACGUGUACUUAAUGUUGACGUACAAUGAUCGAUUUUUAACAGUAGCAAUAGAUGAAAUUUUUAACA